rnacentral:sRNA from 1 species
UGUUCAGACGGUUAAUCCCACACAUAUGUCGACACAUUGAUCUGGGUGCUUUUGUGUUUGUUAAAAACACAAAAGUGGACAAUGAGGACAUAUGGAGGCCUAAC